rnacentral:lncRNA from 1 species
GAAAUUUCUGGAAACACCUCCAGGGAAAAGGUCUCGCUGGCGGAGACUGCUCCCUCUUCAUGCUUCAUUUUCCCACUGUCAGUGUUUUCUACCACCUGCCUUGUUCUCUGUUCGCCUUGAGCUGAGACAAAUUGCUCUGAAAGCCGAAGCCAUGUCUGUUGUUGAUCUCUGCUCUACACUAAGGAGGUUUGAAGCUCUCCUGGCAGGUGAUGCUCCUUGCUGAUGUGUACUGGAUCUCAAAACAGCCUGUACCUUCCCUGAGCAGGCACUGGGGUUUGUUUUGGGAAGGAGACAGCCUACCUUUCCCCAUAUAUUAACAGGGAAAAGCUGGAGGCUGUCCAUCCUCUGGGGUGCUCAGAGGUGGCCUGGGAGGAGAGGAGAUGCUCCCAGCACUGCCAGCAGCAACUGCAGGAGAUGGAGCAGCACCUGGCCCUGAAAGGGGACAUCAGGCAGGGCAGGGGGACAUCGUCAUGCAUGACCCCGACCUCAGGAAAGGUCAGGCUGGGCUCACCAAGGUGUUUGCAAGUGGCAUCUUUCGCAUAGCUGAAGCCCAUCCGGGCUGUGCAGUGGCAUCAAGAAGAGAUACAGCAAAAACAAAGAGGGACACAUGAAAAAGGACAUAAGAAAUUGAAGAAACAAGCAGAGCAUGAGAAACAUAAACAGCAGCAGCUGGGCACAAUUCAUUCCAGCCUUCCUCAGUAGCUGAAU